UACAGAGGUCCCAAGCAUUGUUCGGAUUUACUGGGCGUAAAGGGCGCGUAGGCGGCGCGACAAGUCACUUGUGAAAUCUCUGGGCUCAACCCAGAACGGUCAAGUGAUACUGUCGUGCUAGAGUGCGGAAGGGGCAACUGGAAUUCUUGGUGUAGCGGUGAAAUGCGUAGAUAUCAAGAGGACCACCUGCGGCGAAGGCGGGUUGCUGGGCCGACACUGACGCUGAGGCGCGAAAGCUAGGGGAGCGAACGGG
rnacentral:rRNA from 1 species